CCAGCAGGUCGCCACUCACCUGCGGCGGCAGCAGGCCUUGGAAACCUGCACGUACUAGGUUACAUGCGCAUAAAUAGUCUGGAAAUAGGGUAGGGUAGGUUAGGUUAGGUUCGCUGGGGUUUGGUGGGUAAAAUAGUGAGAUUUGGAUGGGCUGUGCUGGGGUGCUGUGUGUCUGGGGUGGGUUAGGUUAGGUUAGGUUAGGGUGGAAGUGGCUAGGUUAAGGUAGGCUAGGGAAGGUUAGGUUAGGUUACAACAGGGUGUGACUGGUUAGGUUAAGGUAGGCUAGGGAAGGUUAGGUACAGUUAGGUUACAACAGGGUGUGACUGGCUAGGUUAAGGUAGGCUAGGGAAGGUUAGGUUCAGUUAGGUUCAGUUUGGCUAAGUUUGAUCUAGGAAGUUUCUGCUAGGUUAAUUGGGUUAGGUUAGGUUUGGUUAGGUUUGGGUUCUGUGGGAGCAAACUAAGGUUAGGUUAGGUUAUGCUGGAGUUCAUGCAUAAAAUAGGAUAGUUUUAGGGUAGGGGUAGGUUAGAUUAGGUUAGGUAAACAAGAGGAGGAGGAGAAGGAAGAAAAAGAAGAAGGAAA